GACGAACGCUGGCGGCGUGCUUAACACAUGCAAGUCGAACGGUAAGGCCCUUCGGGGUACACGAGUGGCGAACGGGUGAGUAACACGUGGGUGAUCUGCCCUGCACUUCGGGAUAAGCCUGGGAAACUGGGUCUAAUACCGGAUAGGACCACUGCCUGCAUGGGUGGUGGUGGAAAGCUUUUGCGGUGUGGGAUGGGCCCGCGGCCUAUCAGCUUGUUGGUGGGGUGAUGGCCUACCAAGGCGACGACGGGUAGCCGGCCUGGGAGGGUGACCGGCCACACUGGGACUGUGAUACGGCGCAGACUCCUACGGGAGGCAGCAGUGGGGAAUAUUGCACAAUGGGCGCAAGCCUGAUGCAGCGACGCCACGUGAGGGAUGUCGGCCUUCGGGUUGUAAACCUCUUUCAGCACCGACGAAGCGCAAGUGACGGUAGGUGCAGAAGAAGGACCGGCCAACUACGUGCCAGCAGCCGCGGUAA
rnacentral:rRNA from 1 species